rnacentral:rRNA from 1 species
AUGAGGGAGUACAUGCUUCAACUGCAGCGUUUCCUUGCUGACGCCAGAGCUACCAAUAUAAUCUCCCCCGACCGCACUCCCAAGGAAACGCUCGUGAAAUAUUAUGGCAUAUGCGAUCGUUUGUUGGCCGUCCUCCAAAAGGAUAGUGUUCCACGCUUCCUCCGCAUCUUCGAGAAGUACAGGGAGUGCUUGGUUUCUGGUUUUGUCAUCAUUCCACAAACCCUUGACUUAAUUAUUCUAGACAAUGCUCUGCGUUGUGCUAAUCUUGUUUUGGAGGGCAAGUCGCCUAAGCUCUGCGGGGUACGUGCCAACCCCAACUACAUGACCAGCUUUGGGUACUUCCCCCUCCACCAAGCUGCAGAGUCAUUCUCCGUUGAAAUGGUUGAGUUACUGUUACGGUAUGGCGCAUCUGCCAAUCAGCGCACCUCGGGUAAUAAAAUCAUCGAGGGCCUCCUCCCACUCCAUGUUGCCAUCGAGAACACUUGCCAGCAUAAGUAUCUAGAGGACAACCUAUUAGUUGACGAGAACUACAGGAAGGGGAAUGUUGGGUACAUCUACAAGCUCAUACAUCUGCUUUGCCUGCCUGAGAUGAAGAUCUUCUUGGACACCACUAGAUUGCUUGCAGCUCACACUGAUAAUGUAGUCGAUGAGCUUUUGAAUUACAUCGAGCAUGGGAAGAUUGUCCCUGCAGCUAUUCUUCUCCUUGCAGCUCAAAGGCGAUUCCGCAAGCUCAAUGGUUUUGAUAUGAUCAAGAACCGUAUUGAUGAUUCUAUAUUCUCCCUGAUAAGGGAGGGGUGUGGAUUGCAAAUUGGUAAAAAUACCAAGGAAGCAAAGCAGCGGAAGGAGAAGGAAGUACGUUUCUAUAAUGUGUUGUUCCUUGUUAGGAUAAUUCUGAAAGCUGGUGAAGCUCUUGAUGCAUAUAUUCAAACUCAUUCAGAGGCAUCUCAUCACGAGGUCCAUGGAAAAGUUUCAGCAGUUCUCAAAAGUUAUGACGUUGGUCCUCUCGGAAAAGAUAUUUGCAUUGAAGACCUUCAAUGCUUCCCCUAUGACUGUGGAGGGCCGGACGGGGACACAGAUUUGACCAAGGCAGCCACUGGAUCACCUACUCCGGAAGUCAAGGAGAAAAAUGCUGUGGCAAAGGAACGACGAGUUAACCACCUGUAUGCAAGAGAUCAGUUUUUCCCGGUAUGGAGAUCAGUGCUGACAGCUCGGUUUAUUACGAAGAUCUUUCCGCCCUACACACCGAAGAAAGAGUUGCCGCUGUAUACUAGUGAUGGGGGCUCCGAGAAGUUGAGAGCUGAAAGGCACUCUCAUAUCCUUCUUGGCACGUUGGAGAGGAAUUAUCCGAGAGUGAGAGUAGCAAGUAAACCGACGCCCACAAGUAAGUAUCGGUCCAGAAGGUUGUUUGGCACUGCUGCAUCGACUGUCCUGAAGAUGCUUAAGCACGUAUGA